GUAGUUGUAGUUGUUGUUGUUGUUGUUGUUGUUGCUAUUGUAGUUGUUGUUGUCGUCUUCUUCUUCUUCUUCUUCUUCUUCUUCUUCUUCGUUGUUUUUGUUGUUGUUAUUGUUGUUGUUGUUGUUGUUGUUGUUGUCGUUGUUGUCGUCGCCAUUGUCGUUAUUGUCGUUAUUCUCGUUAAUGCCGUUGUUGUUGUUAU
rnacentral:lncRNA from 1 species